GGCUCAGAUUGAACGCUGGCGGCAUGCCUUACACAUGCAAGUCGAACGGCAGCACGGGGCAACCUGGGUGGCGAGUGGCGAACGGGUGAGUAAUGCAUCGGAACGUGCCAUUGAGUGGGGGAUAACGUAGCGAAAGUUGCGCUAAUACCGCAUAUUCUGUGAGCAGGAAAGCAGGGGACCGCAAGGCCUUGCGCUCUUUGAGCGGCCGAUGUCAGAUUAGCUAGUUGGUGAGGUAACGGCUUACCAAGGCGACGAUCUGUAGCGGGUCUGAGAGGAUGAUCCGCCACACUGGAACUGAGACACGGUCCAGACUCCUACGGGAGGCAGCAGUGGGGAAUUUUGGACAAUGGGCGCAAGCCUGAUCCAGCCAUGCCGCGUGAGUGAAGAAGGCCUUCGGGUUGUAAAGCUCUUUCGGCCGGGAAGAAAUCGCAUGGGUUAAUACCCUGUGUGGAUGACGGUACCGGAAUAAGAAGCACCGGCUAACUACGUG
rnacentral:rRNA from 1 species